GAUUCUUACAUUUUAUAUUAUAUUAUAAAUUACUAUAUGAAAUAAUUUUAUAAAUAAUUUUAUAUAAAAUAUACUAAUAUAAAUUAAUUAUUUUAUUUUUAAAAAUAUAUUUGUUGUUCUAGACUUUUUAUCCAAACGCUAUUAAGGAUAUCCUCUAGAAUAUCCUCGAAUGCAUCCAAACACAAAUUUACAAUUGUUCUAUCUUGUACCGGAAUAUUCCCUGUUCUCGGGAACAACAAAAGUUGUUCUCCAAAAUUUAGUUCUCCAACCAAACGCAGCCUAACAGUAUAACAUUGCAACUAGUACUUUUUAUCAUUCAAUCGAACAAAGAGUAAAACCUAAUUAUAUUGUUCUAUUAUGCCCCGAGAGUGUAAAUUUGGAACGAAUCUAUGUCAACUUUCGCAAGAACCAAAGCCGGAACAACAUUAGAAAACUCAGUUGCGACCUAACUGUAUAACGUUUCAACAAGUAGUUUUUCUCAUUCUAUCGAACAAAGAGUAAAACCUUAUUAAAUUGUUCUAUUAUGCCCCGAGAGUGUAAAUUUGGAACAAAUCGAUGUCAACUUUCGCAAGAACCAAAACCGGAACAACAUUAGACAACUCAGUUUCGACCUAACAGUAUAACGUUGCAACAAGUAGUUUUUCUCAUUCUAUCGAACAAAGAGUAAAACCUAAUUAAAUUGUUCUAUUAUACCCCGAGAGUGUAANGAGUGCCCUGCGAGCGAGAGCGAGAGAAAGAGAAAGGGGAGAGCGCGAGAUGACGAGAGAGGAGACGAGAGAGGCGCGAGAUCAAGAGAGAGGCGAGGGAGCGAGCGGGACCGAGAGAGCGAGCGGGACCGAGAAGGAGGUGAAGGGGAGAGAGAGAGAAAGAGAUGUGUAGUAGGGUUUAGCUUUAGGAAGAAAAAAUAAAAGGGGAGUGAAGUUAGCUGCUACUGUGCUAGUGAUCUAAUAAUAGCCGUUGGAUCAUACGGGUGUAGGAUAUACACCUUUCUAUAGGAGUACAGGUAGACUUUUCCUUAAAAAAAUGAAACUAAAUAAAAAUAUUUUACUAAAUGCAAAUAAACCGAAUGAAACCAGCUUAAUUAUUUUGGUUUUUGGUUCAUGUCUCUAAUUCGAUUUAAUUCGGUUUUCUAAGAAACUAUAAAAAAAUCAAAUCAAAUCAAACCGAACCGACCAAUGCUCACCCAAAUGUUAUUUUAAAAUAGUACUGUUCGGAGAAGCAUUAUUUUAUCAAAAAAAAAUUAUAUAGAUAGCUCAGGAAAAUCUAUGGGAAAACUUCAAAAACCCCCCAUGUGGUUUCGUAGUUUCUCACUUUGCCCUCCUGUGAUUUAAAAUGUAUCAAUUUGUCCCCCUAUGGUUUCUUUUUUCUCUUUUUCUUAUCAAUUUCAUUAUUUUUUUUCUUAAAUCAGUGAUAAAGUUAAUUUAAAGGAUACUAAAGUGAAUAUUUGAUAAAUCCAGAUGGGUAUUUGAAGUUUUUUGUAUAUAAUUUAAUGAAAUAUUAACGAAAAAGUUAUCGAAAAGAUAAAAACAAUACCACAGGGGGGCAAUUUGAUACAUUUUAAACCACAGGGGGGCAAAGUAAAAAACUAUGAAACCACAUGGGUUUUUUUUUUGAAGUUUUCCCAAAAUCUAUUGCACAACAACAAAAUUCAUGAGCUUCAAUCUUACUUUUUUUUCCUCCAUAUUUUGUUCUUUAGUUAUGGAUUUUAAUAUUUAGGAACAUGAUUUACUGACUAACUGGUAUUUAAGCUUGGUGAAUUGAUUUAUGUAUUUUCUCUCUUUCGCAUUCAUAGGUUCGAAAACGGACUCCUCAUUUUCUCUUAUUUUGUUUUGAUUUUUUUUUUUCGCUUGAUCUUUUAUAUAUGAAAAUGUGUUUUAUUUUUCUUAUCAAAAUUAUUCAAUAUUGUAUUCAAGCUCUAAUUUUUCGAAAAACUUCAAAAAACUCCCAUGUGGUUUCGUAGUUUCUCACUUUGCCCCCCGUAGUUUAAAAUGUAUCAAAUUGCCCCCCUGUGGUUUCGUUUUUAUCUUUUCGAUAGCUUUUUCGUUAAUAUUUCAUUAAAUUAUAUACAAAAAACUUCAGAUAUCCAUCUAGAUUUAUUCAAAUAUUCACUUUAGUACCCUUUAAUUUUAACUUUAUCACUGAUUUAAGAAAAAAAAAUAAUAAAAUUGAUAAAAAAAAGAGAAAAAAGAAACCAUAAGGCUGCGUUUGGUUGGAGGGAUAUCCCAGAACAAGGCGGGAUAUCCCUCCAAACACAAUGCAUUUUGGAACAACCGGGUUGUUCCCGGAACAACCCGUUAAGCCGGGAACAACCCGGUAAGCUUGCCGGAACAAGAGAUUUGGGCUUUUUUUUUUCUUUUUUUUUUUUUUCUGGCCUUUUAAUUUUUUAUACUUUAUUUUAAUUAAUUUCAAAUAAAUUAAAUGAAUGCUCAAAUUUAAUAAAUAAAUAUAUUAAUAUAAAUAUUAUUUUUAUGAUAAUAUAUUUAUACUUAAAUUUUAUUAUAUAAUAUAAAUUAAUUAAAUUUGAUAUAUAUUUUAUUUUAUUAAGUUUUAUCAUUUAUAUAUUAAUAUUUAAUUAUUUUAUUUUAUAUUAAGUAUUAUAUACAUAAAAUCAUUUUAUCAUAUUAUAUAUAUAUAUAUAUAUAUAUAUAUAUAUAUAUAUAUAUAUAUAUAUUAAUUGUAUUGAAAUUUUAUACUUAAUUUUUAGGGUAAUAUAUUUAUACUUAAAUUUUAUUAUAUAAUAUAAAUUAAUUAAAUUUGAUAUAUUUUUUAUUUUAUUAAACUCUAUCAUUUAUACUUUAAUAUUUAAUUAUAUAUAUAUUUUUUAUUUGUAUUAAAAUUUAUACUAAUUAUUAAUUAAAAAUAUAGGGAUAUUGUUAGUAUUAUACUUUAUUCAUUAAUAUAUUAUGAAUAAAUUAUAGAAAAUAAAUUAUUACAUAAAAUAAAUUAUUAUAUAUAAUAAAAUAAUAUAUAUUAUUUUAAAUUAGAUUCUUACAUAAAAUAUUAUAUUAUAAAUUACUAUAUGAAAUAAUUUUAUAAAUAAUUUUAUAUAAAAUAUACUAAUAUAAAUUAAUUAUUUUAUUUUUAAAAAUAUAUUUAGACGUUGUUUUAGACUUUUUAUCCAAACGCUAUUAAGGAUAUCCUCUAGAAUAUCCUCGAAUGCAUCCAAACACAAAUUUACAAUUGUUCUAUCUUGUAUCGGAAUAUUCCCUGUUCUCGAGAACAACAAAAGUUGUUCUCCAAAAUUUAGUUCUCCAACCAAACGCAGCCUAAGGGAACAAAUUGAUACAUGUUGAAUCACAGGAGGGCGAAGUGAAAAGCUACGAAACCACAGGGGGUAUUUUGAAGUUUUUCCCUAAUUUUUGAAUAAACAACCCUCCUUUAAAAAAACAAAAAAAAAAAAAACUCGGUGCGCUUUGAUGUAAUGAAUGAGCACAUUAAUUUGCAAAGGUCACACAACCAAUCAAAAGCAGCCACGUAUAUACCAAACCAAUAACAAGACGCCACGUCACCCAAUCUCCUGUAAAAAAAAAGAAGCACAUUCCAAACACACUACGCACGCGUUGAACAAAAAAAUUUUGUGGGGACGACAAUCCUAUGGCGAGGCUUCCAUCCACCGUCCAUUACGCUUUGAAAUUCGUGCCACUCUAUUUGAUGGACGGUGGAUGAAAUGCUCUCACCGUGCGGAUCCUCCACACCAAAUUUUUGUUCCGCUGAACAAAAAAAAUUUUGUGGGGACGACAAUCCUAUGCCGAGGCUUCCAUCCGCCGUGCAUUACGCUUUGAAAUUCGUGCCGCUUUGUUUGAUGGACGGUGGAUGAAAUGCUCUCACCGUGCGGAUGAUCCCCACCAAUUUUUUGUUCCCUACGGAUUCCUCCUCUCACCUUCUCUCUCUCCCUCUCGCUCUCUCUUUCUCUCUCUAUAAAUAUAUAUCUCUCCCGCGCACUCUUUUUCCCGCCGCCAUUUGGACGGAAUCGAGCGUCGGAUGCAAUGGACCCGAAACCCCCGACGACGACGACGACGACGACGAAGCUCGCCUACUUCGACGACAUGCGCGCCCUCCGCUCCUCCGCCCUCCUCCUCGCCCUUCUCCAGGUUCCCUCCCUAACCCCCCCUCUCUCUCGAAACCCUAAACCCUAAUCAAACUCCUAGAUUGGGCUAAAACCCUAGCUGCUUUGUGCGAUCCAAGGUGGAUGAUGGGCGCCUCGCGGCGAUCCUCGACGCCACGAUCUUCCACCCCCAGGGCGGCGGCCAACCGGCCGAUACCGGAUUCAUCAUCGCGGCCGCCGCCGCCGACGACGACGAUGGUGGAGGAUGCGGCGCCAAGUUCGUUGUCGAGGAUGUUAGAUUGAAGGAGGGAGUGGUUAGUAACCUAAUCCCUAAUCUCUCUCGCAGUUCUUAAGCUACAUUUUCAUAUGUAUCCGUCCGAAGAUUUGGAAUUGUGGAUUUAUCCCUUGUAGGGUUUGCAUAGAAUGACGCAAAAAGUAACUAUAAAAAUAUUAGAAAUGGAAAAUGACGUUAGAUAUAUUUAAAGAAGAUAUUUAUUCAAGAGUUGAAUGGUCAUUUUAUUCAACUUUUGAGAGAUAUACUUGUGGAGUAAAAUUUGAAAAUAUUUGGCAAGUGCGUGCCAACCUUUGUAUGUUUUCCUAUUUUUGGUCUCCAAUAUAUAUAUAUUUUUGGAGGGUUUUUUUUUUUUUUAAUUUGAAAUUCAUAAAUUUAAAUUUUAAAUUAUUGUGAAUUAAAUUUUAAAAUUCACAACUAGAUUUUCAAUUCAAAUUUUGAUUUUAAAUUUAGUUUUAUUUAAAAUUUCAAAUUCAAAUUCAAAUUUUGUACCUAAUUUUAGAUUAAAAUUCAAAAUUUUAAUUUUGAAUUCAAAAUUCAAAAUGUGAAUUUGAAUUUAGAUUUUAACUUCAAAUUUAAAUUUAACAUUAAAAUUUAAUUCCAAAUUUAAAUUUAAAUUUGAAUUUCAGAUUUUAAUUUUAAUUUUAAAUUUACUCUUGAGUAUCACUGGACAUUCUAUUAAAACCUCCCUAACAGCUUCUAAGUAGAACCAAAAGCUUAUGUUUUUGGACCAAAAAGAGUCUUAUGUCAGCUUCUUGCUGUUGCAGAAGCUCCAGGUUUAUUUAUUUCAUUUGGAUUCCAUAGCAGCAAAAACAAACUUUCCCCACAAAGAGAUGUAAUUAGAUAUCUACAGGGCCCUUGUGCUAAAUUUGGGAGUAAUAUCGAACAUGAAAAUGAAACUCAUCAUGCUUUAGCUGAGUGAUUACUAUAGCUAGGAAUAGUGAAUUAUGCCUUUGACAAUAUGGCAAUUUAGUAGAACAUUAAUAUAUGAUUAGGAAAUCUUAUUGUCUCACGUGUUGAGAGUAUUAGUUAGAAGCUGACCUUUAUUUACUUGCACUAUGCAGUUGAUUCCUGAGUAUAACUGGACAUCAAGAUCUCAGAUCUGUGAUAAUUUUUGCUAUUUUGUUUAGGUUUUUCAUUAUGGGAAAUUUGAGGAUAGUGAAGAUGAAUGCCAAUCUAAACUCAGAGAGGGUCAGAAAGUUAGCUUGCACAUUGAUGCACAAAGGCGCGAAAUCAAUUCCAGGUAUAGAAUUCUCUGUAAGUAGCACACUUAAAAAAUCUAAUCUUUUAAUAUAUGGGUGUAUUAUUGGUAGAUAUGCUUCUUUUCUCCAAAGAGUUACCUACCCACUACAUAAAUUAAUCAUAGGUAACUUUGUAUAUUGCCGAAGUAACCUAUGGUAGAUUUACUUUUAACUACCACAUUUCCAUAUGCUGUCUGACCAUGAUCAUCUUGUAGCCUCGAGCUUAAUCCACUCUUACAUCCUCUUUUUUUUUUUUUUAAGGAAAAGAAAAAUGUAGUCAAUAAAGCGUCUAGUUCUAGAUUCCCUCUAAUGUGUUGUAUGAUCCUAAUUGUUGUCCACUUGAUAUGCGAAAUAUGGGGUGAAACUCUAUAAACAAAAGCAUCUAAAACAUUUUUGUUUUGAUUGAUGUUGAUUUGAAGCUGUAAUCCAUAACGAUAGGAUCUCAGCUUCAUUUCAAACCAUUCUAAUUGAGGCUUAGUUUUAAAGUGCCGACCUACAUUGCUGGGUCUAGCUUCUGAGGUCAAAGUUAAUACGCUUACGGAUCAUAUUUAUUGUUGCUCGUCAUUUUAUGAUCUUUCAUGCAGACAACGAUCUGCACUUUAUUCAUUAUCUUGAUUGAAGUCUAAACAUCACUUAGUAUAGAACAUUGCAAAAAUUGAGUUUUAGUUCUUUACUUUUCGUACAUUUUGGAUACUUUUUGAGAGACGCUUGAAAGUAAAACGGGUUAAUUGUACAAAUAGUCCGCAACCUUACUUGGUUUACUAUUUUGAUCACCAAACUUUUUUUUCUGAUUUUGUAAUCGAGUCUCUAACCUGUAGUAUUUGUUUCAAUUACAGCCCUGCAAAAAUGCAGUUAACAAUAAUGGAAAUUGCCACGUGGCAAGAUUUGAUGUUGACCAAAACUCAGAAAUUCUAAGGGACUCGCCGAAGCUGAGACUGUACCCUGUUUUCUUGAAUCUUUGAGAGCCAUAGCAGUGUUUUUCAGCUAGAAUGUGCCAAAAUAUUGUUCAGCUUUUUUAGAUUAUACUAAGAAAUUAUUUACAUCCUGAUAUUUUUAGGGCCGUUAGUCUCUAUGUAAUGCGAUGCAAUUAUGACAACUAGCCAUAGCUCUGGUGGCAUGAAAGAAGUACUAGCACUGUUACUUCCUUAUUUCUUUAUGACAAAAUAAUGAUCUGGCUCAUGAUAUUAUGAACUGAAAUUUCAGCUUAGGACUUUGUUUGAAUAAUUGAUGGGAAAGAGUUCUGUUAGAGAAAGAAGCCUCUGAUAACAUGGGGCCACAAUAUGCCAUGAAAUUCAUUGUAAAAUUGACAGUUCGUACUGUAAUCAAGUAUGUUAUAGUUCCUAUCUGUUGAAUUGAAAUGCCAGAGCUACUAAGAGCUGCUAAGGCUGUGUCAGUAUAUUCAAGUACUGCUUUUGUUGUGCGUGCCUUUAAUCUAGGCUAUGCGUUCUCUCUAAUAAAGGACUUCUUCCUGAAAGCAACUAGCACUGUCACAUUCGAUGGUUGGAGGGGGGAAGCUUGUUUAUUUUUGAACUUGUCUACUUGCAUAUGGUGUUUUCAACGAUUGUCUAUCUCUUUAUGCUGUAGGCUUCACUCCGCAGGCCAUUUGUUGGAUAUAUGCAUGCAAAAUGUCGGCUUGUCUCAUCUAGAACCUGGAAAAUGUUAUCAUUUUCCUGAUGGGUAUGACAUCAGGACCUUGACUUUGUCUUCUUAUACUUUGUUUUCUCAUCUAAUUUACACUGGUUGUUCACUGUAUGGAAGUUAUUCUAUUUCUAUGGAGGUAUUUGUAUGCCCUAACCAUCAAUCUAUUAGAAAGACUGUAUAGUAAUAUGUACAGAAUCGGAUGUGGGAAAACAGUAUGUUGUGAUUGUUGCAUGUAAAUUAAGUUGCUAAGUUGCAGCAAUUUAAGGCUGUUAUGAUUAUUAGGACUCACUAGAGCCUUUUCACAAGUCAAAUAUCCUAAUUUGACCGCAUUUUGAUCUUUUAUUCCUCACUAUGUUUGUCUGAUUUAUCUGUCAACAUUGUAGUUCUUCUCUAUAGAAAUUCUCAGAAGUCUGAUUAAGUAGAAUAAUGGUUUUUGUCUCUCUCAAACUGUUUACUUUUUACAUCACGUUAUUACAGUUUACCACCCACUUCCAGGUAUUUCAGUUCAAAAGAUAUAUUGUGACAUAAGCUAUGGUUGAUGCUUGAUGACUCUAUGAUGAUUGAUAGUUUUGUUUCAUAUCUUAAUUUUCUGUGACACUUUGUUUUUGUUAACUCAUUUUUCUGAUUCAUAAUCUCCUCUGUGCGUCUUGACCAUAUUUCUCUCUUAGACACAUAUUUUAGAUCUAAGCAGUUUUUAAAUAUCUGAUUUGGGACAAUUGGAUAAAACUUAUAAGACUUCGACUGUGGCAGACCCUUUGUGGAGUACAAAGGAGUAAUUCCGCCAGAUCAAUUACAAAACAAGCAACAUGAAUUGGAAAGAGAGGCUAAUUCAUUAAUUUCUAGGGGUGGAAAGGUCAGCCUUGAAAAUGCCAUAUUGUUACUCCUCACUUUUACUAGAUAUUUUGUAUCUAUGUCUCGUUAAACCAACUAACUGGUGGAGCAUAUAUUUGUAGGUAUCAGCUUCUAUAUUAUCAUACGAGGAGGCUGUCCAAUGGUGUGGUGGUUCUCUGCCUAGCUACAUUUCAAAGGUCGGUAUAAUAUUCAACUGAAGUAAACUAAACUUUGUUUUCUUCUGGUGAAAAUUUAGGGAGACCCACUCCACCAUAGCCCAUUUUGAAAUAGACCGCCAGAGUCUGUCAUAUUUCGAUAAAUUAUUUCAGUCAUUUUAAUUGAAGAUUUUGUUAAAAUUGAUGGCUUCAUUAGCUUAAUUGCAUUCAAAUUUAAAUCUGAACAAAAUAAACUCAAUCAGAUGCUAUUUCACUUGAUUCUUACACUAAAUAUGACAGAGUGACCAGUCUAAUUAACCAAAGCAAUUGGUCCGUUUAUUUAUUUAAGCAAAUUGGAUGGUUAGUUUCGUUAGACUUCAAAACAUCACUAACACUACUAUUAAGUCAAUUCUUCAUGAUAUAAAAAGGUGAGAAAAGGGAUGUAUGUCUAUAGCCUAUGUCCUCAGGGAAAUCCUUAAUGAAAUUAUGGAGCAUAGAAAGAUACUUUUGUAAAAGAUAUGGAGCUAAAUUAGGAAAGGAGUCAUCAACCUAUUAGUAAAGUGGAGUCAUAGUCUAUGAGAAUUAUCAAGUUAUUGAAACCUAACGGGCUGUAGGCAUACCUAUACAGACUGAUUGUCCUGCCUGUGGAUCCAUUGAAUGCCCAAAGUAUUGUGAUAUAACUAGUCACCCUAGGAAUCAUCGGGUGUUUGUCACAAGUCCUUUUCACAAGGCCACUUCUUAAAGUUGUGGAUCAGCAAUGAACUGUAGUAGGUGGUAAUGGAUGUUGGUAACCCCUUUUUCGAAUAAUUGUUAGAAUUACUAGCAACACCAAACAUGAAUCGUAUUCAGUUAGUUGCUACUCUUUUCGAAUUUAUUAAGCUUUUCUAUUGAUUCUUAUUUUUUUUGUCAUGUUUUAUGAAAUUAUUUUAGGAUAGCACUCCACGUAUUGUGAAGUUUGGUGACCACCGUGGAUGCCCUUGUGGAGGGACUCAUGUUGCUGAUAUUGCCGAUAUUAAAAACUUAAAGGUAAUUAUGAGUUGUUAAAGUAUUGCUAGCAAUGUCAGUAUAAGUAGUUUAAAAGGAAUGAGGUACAUUACAUUUUCUUAUAUUUAUUUAUUUUUCUCUCCUUGUCCAAGUUGUAGGAUGUGAUUGUUUCUCCAUUACCUACCAACUAAUUAUGCUUAACUCAUUCUUGAGCUGUAUUAGGUAGAAAGAUCCUUCGUAAGACAGAGUUAUCAAGUUUGAAGAGAAAAAAUUCUUCAAGAAUAGAAAUACUGGCUUGUUUUUUAUUUACUUGAAGAAUGGAUCUUGUUGAAUAUAAAUAUUAAAACGCGUCUGAUAGCUUACACUUUUGGAGAUAAAACGGCUAUGUCAAAUUACUUUAACAUGGUACCAGAGAAGAAUGUCCCGAUUUCCAAGUCUUGCCAGACUCCUUGCUUCAUUUAAAUUCUUUCCAAAUCUUUAAAAUCCAUGUCUUAAGCUUAUCAAAAAGUCUCAAGCCUAGAUAUUAGUGGGGGUGUUGAAUAUAAAUAUCAAAAACGUCAUUCUUUGACAGCUUAAGCUUUUGGAGAGUAAUGGGUGUUUCUUAUUUUUUAACAGAUGUAACCUAAUUAGAUACUACCAUCUUGGCUUGCAUCAUCAUUAAAAUUUCAGAAGAUCUAUACUUGUCUGACAUUGUGUCAAGUAAUUGGAGGAAUUAAUCAGCUUGAGAUUUGAGCUGCUGUGUAAAAUCAGAAGUGGCAUUCAAUGAUUAGGUCUGCAGUUAUAAUCUGUAAUUUUAUCCAUACCACUUUUGGUUGGUAACUAUAAUUGUUACACGACUGUGGAAGUUAAAAAACCUUUGAGGUCUGCCACAUUUAUAGUAAAUUAGCCUUAUUUUUGUAAUCAUUCAAUACCUAUUUUUAUUCAUAUAUAGCUAUUGUCAGUUUGUUAUUACCUGCUGCUUGUUGGGCUUUUAGUAGAGCUUCUUUCCUGUUUUGUAAGCUUCAUGUUCCACCUAGGUUAAGUUCAUCAGGAAAGGGAAGCCGCUCGAGGCAAUGGGAGCAUCAACUUCUCCCUUCUAUUUUUAUUCACUAGUCACUCGUGUAAUUCAGUUCUAGAACUAUGAACACGAUUAUUUGUGUGAACAUGAUAUUAUCUAGGAUUGAAGAUUGAAAGAUAGGAGUUUGAUAUUGAUUCUUGUAGUUCACUAGUCACUUGCAUAAGUCAGUUCUAGAACUAUGAACACAGUUAUUUGUGUGAACACGAUAUUAUCUAGGAUUGAAGAUUGAAAAAUAAAAGACUUCGAGUCUAUCUGUUUUUCUUUUUUUCUUUUCUCAAGGUCUCUCUGCUAUCUCCACACUAUCUUCUCUCUUCCCCUUUCCAAACUCUGCUCGUAAUCUCCAUCUUGUCGAUCCUUUAACUGUUCGCUUUUCGCUGGUGUAUUGUUGUUAAGAAGAGGGAUUCAUUGUUGAAGCCAUUUCCUCGUUAAUAUGUUCGAUUCAUCCUCAUUGUUUCCCAGCUUGAUAUUUCGCACAAGGCUUGUUAAUGCACGAGUCAUUUUGCACCAGUGCAAUCUUUUGUUUUCUAUUUGGAAGAAAUUCGAGUAAGGGCUCUGAUAAAAGACUACACUAGUAUAUGGUUUUCCUUUUAGGAAGAUCCUGUGAAAUUUCAUGGUGCUCAAGAAUGCUCUUCUUCUCGAUUUUGUCCUUAUUUUCUUAUUAUCUAUUCUACUACUAGAAGUUUGUAUCAACUCAUUAAUAUCUUUUAAACCUUUCUUUAACCUGUUAUAUUUCAGGUCACUCAAAUUCGGAUGAAGAAAGGCCUUACCAAAGUCUUUUAUAGUAUCAGCACUUGAAGAUUGCUGCCGAACUUCAUCCUUACGAAUUGCUACAACCAUCAACAGUAAGUUUUACAGUUUUUCAAUUAUAAUUUCAUCUCAUUGUGGCAUUACACUCCUCUUGAAUAAUUUAUUGUAUAUGUACAAAAAAGUUUUAUGGUCACGAUGUUAAAGGGUUUGAAUUGACGAUUAAUAUCUCAUGUAUGUCUUUGUCUAUGUUGCGAUAAUCAAUAAAAAGCUUCAUGAACUUAUUUAUAAUUGAUAGCUAUAUUUUAGAUUUUCCGAAACUAGUUUUUUUUAAUCUUUUGAACUCAUUUAAGUAUCUUCGGUGGUGUGCUCCUUCAGUUGACCCGUUCGUCAGUGUCGAAAGAAGCUAACCUGUGAUUCGAUGCUGUUAAUGAUGUUUUUAAACUAUAAUAAUAAUACAAUAAUAAAAUCUUUUAUGGUGGUUCAUGAUAUAAACACCAUUGCACUUUCUCUCUAGGGUAGGGUUACACUUAGAUAGGUCAACAUUUGUCUUUAAAGCAUUUUAAAAACUAGGAACAUUCCAAUGUCUAGCUGUGAUGGUAACAUGGUGAAAAUUGUAACAGCAUGGCCCAGUUCCUCUGCUGUUAAAGAUGCAUUAUUUAUACUCACAAACUUCGUAGUUCUGUUUCUUCAUAUUGUCAAUAUCCUUGGUUUUACAUCGGUUUGUUUGGCGGUCUUGUUUUUGCUGUGUUUCUAUUAUUAAGUGAAUAUGAGCUCCUGAUAAACUUUGCGAAGUCAACCAUGGAGCACCCAUCGGGUGAUUUUGAUGGAUCGAUUUGAAAAAAGUCCCGCCAUCUUGGACUGACGAUCACACGAGAAAAAACAACAAAUUCUAUCAUCAUUAUCGAGGUUGCUAAUUUUGUAUUGCAAGAGAUUCUUGUAUGUUGGAAGAAAUUUCUCCAUCACUGCUUCAACGGGAAGUUAAAAGGAAAUGCACAGACACUUUCAUGGAGUCAUGACAGUAACUUUUUGGCUUAUCCACCGGCUAAGAACACGGUUGCAUGCAUGUUGUGAAUGUGUGGGUGCAGUUAGAAGCGCAAUUUGGUUGAGUGAGUACUUUCUCCUCAACGAGUUUUCAUUAAGACAGUUUGGUAAGCCGUACGAUUCAUUUCGUUUGUGAUUCGGCACCGUUUGGUAAUGGAAUUAGCUGGAGGAUUAGCUCUUAUCCUCCAGCUAAUCCCCAAACAAGUUUCAAGGUGGUGGGAACAACAGUUCCCACCACCAUCGGGAUAAGGGAAGGGGGUGGGGAACAACUGUUCCCACCCCCCCUUGUGUCAUAUGUGUUCUGUGAGUGAAAAUUUUUCAAAUUACCCUCCUUAUCCCCUUCUCCCCAUUUUCGAAGCAAGGAAAGAUCCCUCUCUCUCUUGGUCACAGAGCUCCUGCGGCUGGUUCCUCUCCUUCCACCUCACCGAGCACCGCUUGUUGUUCCCACCUCACCUCUCUCUCCACCUCACCUCACCACUUGUUGUUUCCUCUCUCUCCAUCUCACCUCACCGAGCUCCCUCUCCCCUGCACCGGGUUCUUCUCUCUGCACCUCUCCAUCCCGUGAGUCCGCUCCCUCCCUUCACCUCCGGCCGACGGAGCCUGUGGUUUCCGCGAAGCUUGUGGGUUUGCGAAACCCUUGUCGCGAGAUCACUUGUUGCGGAUAUUGAUUUAUUUAUUAUUGUAUCAGUUACAAAAUAUUCGGUACAAAAUAAUCGUAUUAUUUUACGUACAUAUGAAUAGAAAAAGAAUAUAACUUAGGAAUCCUACAACUCACCCUUUUCUUUUUCUCAGUAGGGGUAAUUAGGUAAUUUUAACAUUUCACUAACCCAUUAUCCUCUUAUUCCCAAAUACUAUCCAAACACUUUUUUCCUUAUCCCUCCUUAUACCUAUCCUAAUAUCUAUUUUCAUCCAAACACAAAAUUACUUUUAUCCGCAUACUUGUACCUAUCCCUAGAACAGCUAGUUCUUGCUUAUCUCCGAACCAAACGGUACAUUAAAGAACCGUUUCAAUCUUAUGAAGGUUUUCUAUCUAAACUUCAAGGCCAUAUUGAAUGGCGGAUUUAGAAAGCUCAAUAAGGUUGAAUGGGAAGCCUCUCAUUCAAGUUUUUUCCUGCAGUUACGCGCUUCGUCGAAACCAUUCAAUGACUUCAAUGGCACUUUGCCAACAUUAGCCACAGCUAUCUGUCUUACUUACGGGGAAAAGGUUUUAUCCUCCAUGCUUCAUUUCCGCAUGAAUCAUUCAUUUUGGGCGAAGCAACUAGAACUAUGGAAGCAUUCUUCCCCACGAUUCGAACAUCACCUUCAAUUUCGCAGAGAUUUGAUCUUACCAUUAGAAACAUUGUGCAUCUAUUUUCUCUCGGGCUUCAGAUCUUCUCGUUUCUCAUUUUCAAAUAAGAGAGAGGGAGAGGGAGAGAGAGUUGUAGCAUGUUCCCGGACAAAAAUCUCUCCUUUUAAAACUGAAACAAAUACUGCAUGCCAAGUGAUUAUCAACCAUUUUCGGGAAGUACAGAGCACAGCCACUACUGUGCAAAGCUAAAAUGUGCAGUUCAAGUGCUUCUAAAAAAGUGGCAGGUGCUUCACGAGUGCGUUUACAUCCACUGGAUAAGUUGAGAAAGUGAAAAAAAGAGAGAGAACAAGAAAUGUUGGUUGAAAAGUUGUGACGAUAAUGUCGAGCCCUCAAGCUGCCGGAGCCUCCGCCAUUUCCUGCUCGACAGGGGUAGUUUGAACAGGGUAAUACUUGUAGUGCAGCUCACCGACAUCGUCUCCCGACAGCUUCUUCCACCCAUCAGGUCCAACAUGAUAAACUACAAACAAACAAAAAAAAAAAAAAAAAGGAAAGUAAAAAAGGAUUAGAGCAAUCAAUUUACCAUUUGUGAGAAGAGAUGGGGUUAGAAAUUUGGUCGCAAAAUUUGACCCGAAUUCUAAUUUCAUCCUGAUAGUUUAAGAAGUUGUAAUUAUUGAGUCCCAAAAUCUGCUCUGCACAACAAACGAAAUCCUUGCUUUAAUCUACAGUCUGAAAAAGUGCCUAGGUAGCACAACAAUUAGGUUUCUUUGUAAAAUUGAAACUCUGAGAAAGAAAUCAAAGCCAAGUUCAAACUUGCUGAACGAAACGAAAUUGAAAUCAAGCUCAAACUUUGGAUUGGAACUUCAAGGAUGAAAUUUCAAACUGAGGCCCAACCAUCUUAGGGUCCAAAUUGUUGCAAUUCAAAUUCUGAGCAGAAAAUUGAAACAGUGGUCAAACUUCAGGAUGUUAUUUCUUCACGGAGUAAUUAGCAAGUAGCCCUAAACAUGAAAACUAGUAUAUAUAAUACAUGGAUCACAUACAAAUGAGCAGAGGACCAAGUCAAAUAGUCUAGAUCGAGUACAACAACAUGUAUGCCCAAGACGGAUGUUAUAUAAGUGAUUUUAGCGAGUAGAAAGGUAUCCAAGUGCACAUGCCUUUACAGUUAUUCUAGCUUAACUGUAUAUAGAAAUAAUGGAUGAGCGAUAGAAAAGCACAUACCACUAACAACACCACCACUUGCUCCAUCACGGAAUGUGGCGUGAUAAAUAGCCCUACGUGCCAGCUCAGCAGCUUCCUCGACUGACAUGUCGAAGCGGUAGCUGAUAAAGUAACACACCGUAGGUAAGUCGAGGAACAUUCGAUCGUAUAUAAAACAAGGGUGAGAAAGUCAGUAAAAAUUCAACUUCCUACCCAUUAUCCAGGACACCGUAAGCAUAUGGCGAUCCAGACCCUACAGAAAACCUGUUCCCCUUGAGCCUCCCUCCUUCGCUGUCCACGUAAUAUAAUCCAGGUCCCUGAGAAAGUAAGAAAAAAUAAAGAGGUUUUAUUAGCCACACAACUUUGGAAAGAAAACAAAAAAAUUGGGUUAAUUACAAAAUUGGCCCUGAAGUUUGGUCCAUCAUUUCAAUCAUUCUUUUUUAGUAGUAUCUUUUUAGUCUCUGAAAUUUGUUCUAUGUCAAAACUAAUUCUUCUGCUAGUCUCUGCCUUCUAGAAAAGCACCGUCUUUACAUCACUGUUAAAAUUGAAUCAUUGUUAAAAUUGAAGCGACAAAAUACUGCUAUGUUAGCAUACUCUCAUCGAUGCUGAUGUGGAGUCCUUUUAUUCCUGAGGUGGACGAAUGUCGCUAAGGACAAGACUAAUUAAUACGCAAGGGAAACUUAGGAGACAAAAUUGUUAAAAACUUUUUAGGACAUAAUUGAAGCUGGGGUCAAACUUCAAGGACUAAAUUUCUAAGUAAUCCAAAAGGCUCUGUAGAAAUGUAAGACUUCACCUGAACAGUAGCACAUUUUGAUAUUGCUACAUGAACUUUAAAAAGUUUGAUUUUACCACCUCACAUUUCGUUCGUUUUGAUUUUUGAAAAUUUCUUCCGAAAAAGAACUUGUCAAACUCCAUCAGAAUUUAAGGGAUGUUAUUAAAAAAUUGUGUGGAAUAUUUUAUCAAAUAGCAGAAUAUUAAUUUAGAUUACAGAAUAUCCGGUUAAAAAAGUAAAAAAUACUGUUAAAUUCUGAUUUGACACGCUAAACACGUCAUAAGAUUAAGCAGUAAAAUAAAAAAAAAAUUUUGAAGUUCAUAUGCCUGUUUUGAAAUGCAGCAUAGUUCAGAUAAAGAUCUAUUCAUUUAUAUAGAAGUUUUCUAUUCAAGUCAACAAGCACCUUUUCAUCCCAUCCAGCAAUCAUGGUACCAAUUGAGAGGCCCAUCCCUCGAUAUGAAAAGAGAAUAUUUGCCAACAGCUUUGAAGCGCCUGUAACCGAGAUCCUUCGCUUGUUCGCCAGUUCAUGUAGACGGCACUAUAAAAGAGGGAGAAGUCAUAGAAGAUCACGAAAAUUAUGCAGAAUCAUUUUAUUAGAGUUCGCAAAAGCACACAGAAGUAAUAGCACAUCCCCAUAAAGUAUCCUUUUUUAUAAGCAAAUGUAACCUUGAUUCCCAAGUUCCGAUGCCAAAAUUGGCAAUCAGCAGCUCCUCCAGCCAUUGUUCCAAGCAUGUAAGGAUUGAUCUCAAUGAUUUUCUUCACGCUUUGAGAGGCUGGGUUCAAAGAGGAGCGAGAAUGAGAAUGAGAGCCAAUAAUGUUACGAUCAGGUGCAAACAAAAAUUCUUCUGUUGUUCAAGUUGAAAUGUUUGGUCCACAAAGCAAAUCACCUUUUCUCUUGAGGAAGGUCAGAAGCUACUGCUCUAAACUGUUCUUAAUUCAGGAACAAAUCAUGACAAACCUUAACACAGUAAGAGAAAUGACAAAGUUGGGAAGGGACUAUUUCAACACUCCCAUUGUUUGCGGUGGUUUCUCCGUACAAUUUUGAUCUGUUAAAGGAUGCGGCAUUAAAACCCUAGUAGGAGAGGGCGAGAGCUUACAUAUGUAUCCUCCCAUGCUAGCCCUAGAAUCCGCGGCGACGAUGACGCCCUCCUUGAAGAUGAAGGCGAGCGUCGUCGUCCCCUUCGCGUGCUUCAGCGUCUCCUUCGCGUUCUUCUGAAACCCAUCGAACUGCUCCCAAGCAAAACCCCCCAAGAAUCGGCAAGAAAACGAAUUAGGGCAAAGAUCGGAGGGAGGAAACCCUAGAGAGGUGGAGGAAGUAAGGAGAGGAGGAUCGGAUUCGACUCACGUCGUCGCAGGAUGGGAGAUCGAAGGAGGGGGCGGCGGGGAAUACGCCGUCGCCGCCGAUGGAGGGGAUCAGCGCCGCGGAAGAGUCGAGCGCGGUGGUGUCGAGCUUCAUCUUCGUUGUAACCAGCGCGUCAAUGGCGAGUGUCAAUGGCGAGAGCGAGAGAGAGAGAGAGAGAGAGAGAGAGAGAGAGAGGGGUCGAGUAUGCUAUAAAGAGGAAGAGGGAGGAGGCUUGGAAGAAAACAAAUGGAAGUAGAGGCCAGUAGGCCCACAUUUUUUGAGCCAUUUCGGGUCAAGGGUCGGCCCGACCCGACCCGGUUGCUAAUCCAGGCCAGGUCGUACCGGCCCGUUUACGAAGAGCAGUAGGCCCGGUCUAUCCUCUGGCCCGCACUGCACGGGCCGGGCCGGGCCGGGCCAGAAAAUCUUCACCUGGUUUUUUUUUUUUAGAUUUUUUUUUUCAGAAAAAGAGAUAAUUUUUUUAAAUUAUAAAUUUGGACUUAUAGCUUUUACUUUACACAAUUAUACCAAACUUUUUGACAACUCUUUUAUUAAAUAUUUUUAAUAAUUUUUUAUUAUUUGAAGAGAAAUUGAUAUUUUAAAAAAUAAUUACAAAAAAAAUAUAAAGUUUGUAUUAAUCAUAUUACAUAAAAUUUGUAUUUUUUUAAAAAAAAAGAGUUUAAAUUAUAACAUUUUGACUUAUAGUUUUUAAUUUACACAAUAAUAUCCAACAUUUAUAAAUUUUUUUCAAAAAAUUUAUAAAUUUAAAAAAAUCACAAUAAUUGUGGAGAGACUUUGUAAAAAAAAAUUGUUGAAAAAUAUUAAAAAUAUUUGCAAAGUAAACUUGAGAAGUGAGGGAAAAGAAAAUUUAGAUUGAAAGUUAGAGAGUGGGUGUAACGACCCAGCCCACUAGCAAUAAUAACUCGUUGGGCCCAACCACAACCCAAAAUGCUUAAGCCCAGUUAUUAUUACUAGUGUCUAAGUCUCUUAUAAACCCAAUGACAACCCCAUUCCCAUCCGAUAUGGGAUUAUUGGGGUGUCACAGUGGGAGGAAGUAGGGUUUGUGGAAGAAAAUGAAUGAAGAUGAGCUAAUCUCCUAUACUAUCUAUAGUACCGGAGCUCCGGUACUAUGGUCUUAUUUUCGAUCUUAAGGUGUUCAAAUCAACGAUCCACACCGUUAAAACUAAUUUACGGUAUUUAAAGUUUUUAGAAAUAAAAUUUUAUAUUUUUUCGACAUAGUUACUUUAUGAUCAAACCAUUUCAAAAUUGUUAAUUUUCAACGGCUACUAUGACGAGUUUGGAGUUUAACGGUGUAGAAGAAUCUAAAUUUCUUCAAAUUUUGAUAGAAAAUACUUUAAACUAUCUAUAUUAAGGUUAACAUUUUUUAUCUUGAACUUAAAAGUCCUAUUCUCAAAUUUUAAAGAUUAUUCAAUUUCCACCGUCCAUUUUGACAUAAUUUACUUACUAAGUAAACGAUGUCGAAAAAAAUUAAAAUUUUAUUCCUAAGAAUUUUAUAUACCCUAGAUCAGUUUUAACGGUGCGGAUCGCUAAUUUGGAUACCUUAAGAUCAAAAACAAGACUAUAGUAUCAGAGCUCUGAUACUAUAGAUAGUAUUGUAGCCUAAUUCGAAUGAAAAACUAUUUGUCGUGAUGAAUUUGAAUAUUUGUAGUGGUAUUUUAUAGAUAUAAAAAAUAUUUGUUAAAAAAUAUAACAAUAUUUUUUUGACUAAAAUGCCCUCUCUAACGGUCAAAUUUUUUAAUGAUAGUAAGGGCAUUGUGGUCAUUUUAAUAAAAAAAAUAUCUUUUUUUAUUUUUUAAACCCAUUUUUUUAAAAAUAAUAAUAAUAAAAUAUUUUUUUAGAAAAAAAAAAAAUUCAAAACCCAACCCAACGGCUAUUAAGCCGUUGGGCCCACUGUCCAAUAAAAGGUGAGCCCUAAAGGCUAGGCCUAUAAAAGGCUAGCCUUUUUUAGGCCUGGCUUAACUUUGGACUCAAAAGUUAGCAGGCCGUACCGGCCUGCAGGCCGACCCUUCGGCCCGGUACGGGCCAAGCCCGACACCGGCUGUGCCGUGCCAGGCCGACGGGCUGCAAAAGUUCAGCCCAGUACGGCCCGUAGAGCCGGACCGGGGGGAUUCGGGGCGGAUUUUUAAAAACCAGAGUCCGAACCUGAACCCGAACCUGACGGAUUUUAUUUUAUAUAUAUAUAUAUAUAUAUAUAUAUCAUAUAUAUAUAUAUAUUAUAUAUAUAUAUAAUAAUUAAUAUGGGCUACUAUACUAUUCAAUAAGUACCAAGCCUUGAUACUAUUGAGUUUUUGCCGUUGGAUUAAAGGAUGUGCAGGUUAGGAUGAUAGUGGUCCUGGUUAAAUGAGAGUGGUCCCUAGGUGAGUGGUGUAGGUUGGUUUAAUAGUAUAAUCUAACGGGUGGAAAUGAUCACAAAGGUAGAUCUAACGGUAGAAAACUCAUAGUUCAGGCGCUGGUACUAUCAUAGUUAUGUAGGCCGGACUAUAUAUAUAAUCAUAAUAUAACAUUACAUAUGUAUACAUAUGUAUUAUGUAUACAUAUGUAUACAAUGAUAUAUGAUAUAUAUAUAUAUUAUACUAAUAUAUAUAUAUAUAUAUAUAUAUAUAUAUAUAUAUAUAUAUAUAUAUAAUACAAAAUAAAUUCGAGUUCCGGUCGGGUUAGGAUCGGGUUCGGUUCGGGUCGGGUAUAAUCAAAAUUCAUAUCCGAAUCCAUAUUCGUCGGAUUUUUAGUUUUUAUAUACAUAUCUGAAUCCAUAUCCAUAUCCAUCGGAUAUAUUCGUUUCAUUUGGGUUCGGGUUCGGAUAAAAUUUCGGAUAUCCAUACCCAUUGACAUCCCUACCGAGGGGGUCAUUUUGCACAGAACUCCACUUGGACUUUUUAGUUCUUCAAAUUAGUACUUUCCCAUGAGAACAUUAAAAAAAGGGAAAACAUCAAAUACUACCCCUAUAGUUUUGCACUUUAUCACUUUAGUAUCUUAUGCUUUAAAAUGUAUCAUUUUAGUAAGUGUGGUUUUAUUUUUCUCUUUUUGUUAUACUCUUUACUAUUUUUUUUUUAUUAAAUUAGUGAAAACGUUAAAAGUAAAGAGUACGAAAGUGAAUAUUCUGUAAACUAUAGAUGGGGUAUUUAAAACUUUUGUAUAUAAGUUAACGAAAAGUUAAUAGAAGGGCUAAUAAAAAGAGAAAAAGGAAACCACAGGUGUUGGCUUAAAUGGGCCAGCAUCCUGCCCUGUGGUGGGAGGUCAUGUGGGCCGAGUCAUGUUCAAAAUAACGUGAGGCUGGGUUGGGCCGAGUCAUGUUCGAAGUGGCGUGAGGCCAGAUGGGCCGAGUCACAAUCGAGACCCGUGGGCGCUGUUUCUGUACACUUUAAGUGAAUUAGUUGCAUAUUUCUAACAGCUCGAGCUUUUGGGAUUAAUGGUUAGCGCCAACGAUCCGACAAGUGGUAUCAGAGCCAAAGGUCACGGAUUCGAUUCCUGCAUGUUGCAAAUAUGUGCAGGUGCUUGAGGGGAGAUUAUUGGCUUAAAUGGGCCAGCAUCCUGCCCUGUGGUGGGAGGCCAUGUGGGCCGAGUCAUGUUCGAAAUGGCGUGAGGCUAGGUUGGGCCGAGUCAUGUUCGAAGUGGCAUGAGGCCAGGUGGGCCGAGUCACAAUCGAGACCCGUGGGCGCUGUUUCUGUACGCUUUAAGUGAAUUGGUUGCAUAUUUCUAACAAUUAUUUGAAGUUUACCCUUAAAAAAUAGUGAAGGGGAAUGUGAUAAAAAUACUACGUGGACACUUCUAUUUGCAGUGUAAAUCGCCGUAAAAUUAUAUUUAGUUAGAAAUAUGAAUAUGAAGCAAUUAAACUUUGAAUUUGAAUUUCGAGUAUUAACCAUUCAGCCUUUAGCCAAUUGUGCUAUAUACGGUUUUAAAAUUUAGAUUUUAAAAAUUUAUUUUAAAUUAGAAUUAAAAUUUACCAAUAGAAAAAUACUACCUACAUACCUAUAGAUUAACAAAAAUCUUACACCCAAUGCACUAAAAGGUUCACAAAAUUUUUUAAAUUUUUAAUAAAAAACUAGAGUGAGAGGACGAGUAAAAUAAUGAAAACUCUUAGAUGUGUAGAAGGGUUUUUUAGUGUAAUAGUCUUUUCCUAAACAUUUAUUCUAAAAAUAAGUUUAUUAAAUUUUUAUUUAUAAAUAUAGUCUUAUAAAAGCGGUGAAUGAUUCACCGCUUUUAAAAGCGGUGAAUCAUUCACCGCUUUCUUUAUUUUUUUCAUUUUUUUCUAUAUUUUUAUAAUGAUAAAAGCGGUGAAUGGUUUACCGCUUUUAUUUUUUUUCUACUCCUAAUGAGAAGUUAUAAAUGCGGUGAAUCAUUCACCGCAUUUAUAGGACUAUUUUUAUAAUUAUUUUUUUAACAAAAUUAUUUUUAUAAUUAUAAAAAUUAAUAAGAUUAUUUAUAAAAAAAAUUCUGUGUAGAAUGUAAAAUAUACGCCCAGUGUAGGGUGUGCACGUAGCAUCACCUUUUCUUUUUUUUUUUUUUCAUGUUGCUUGGAUUAGACUAAAACAAGAUAAUUUUUCAGAAUGGAUAAAGUAAUAAUUUCUAUUUAAAAAAAUAAAAUUCUCAUGGGCUUUAGAAUGAGUUGGGAGGGUUAACUGGGAAUUUAGUUUACUUCUUCGCGAUUCACUCAAAGGUGCUAACUACUUUUUAGCUAACAAGAAAAUAUAAAUUCGGUUAAUAAUCAACAAUUAAUAGCUUGAUAAUAGAACAAGCUAAUUUUUAACAAAUAUCAAACUCAAUUGACAUAGUAACCCAAAUCAAAGGUAUUAAAGGAAAUGGAUUAAAAACAUGAAGUUCGAAACCAACUUCGAAAUAGUCUAUAGUUGAGGGGGUCUACAUUAAAUUUUUCAUAAACAUACUAACAUUUUCACAUUUUUACAUACACUUUCAGAGUGUAAAUUUACUUUUUUGUAGCAGAUGGAUUGAGUUUUACAAAAUGAAUAAUAGUCUCUUAACUGAAGAGGAAUUAUAAGAUGCUGCGAUUUAUGAUUGAAUCAUAGGAUCAGUGUUUGCAUCAGAUGUUUGAACACUUUCCCUGGCCUUUCUCACCUAAAACAGAGAAGAAACAAAAUCAGAAAUAAAUCAUUUCGAAUUCAAAUAAGCAAUGCAUUAUUAGAACAACUGAAUUAAACAAAAACAGAUUUUGUACUAGAUUUUGCAGUACAACAAUUAAUAAUAUAGAGUCUUAAGUGACACUGCUAAUAGAAAUUUCCCUUUUUGCAUGAGAUACUGCGGUCGAAUAUUUACAGUAAAUCUUGUUUAUCAUAUGCGAGCUCCGAAGCAGUGGCGGAUACAUUUUGGUUCGGUUUGGUUUUGACGGAAAGCUGAAUCAAAGCAUGUCGUAAAUUUUUAUAAGAAAGCUCCAAAUGGAUUUGGUUCAGUUCAAAUCUGAUUUUUAGUAGGAAAAUCAAACCAAAAUGACUAGGAUUUCCAUUAUUCUAAUUUAGAAUCAAACUAAUUUCACGUAAAACUAACCAAAUUGAACCUGAAAUCGUUGUUCCAGUUCGGUUUCUUAGUUUGUUAUUUUUUCCUGAAUCAUAUCCCACCAAGAAGCAGCUGUUGGAUAUGUGCAGCUUUAAGAAACUUGAAUGAUCUUCAGGGCUGAAAAGCAAAAGCUUCAAUUCGAAGCUUCUACUUCAAGUCGACUUAGAAAUUAUGGAGGGAUUCUAAUGAAAAAGUUGUUAAUGACUUGUUCAAUUUGCUCACCUUAAACAGCACUUCAGCUCUAGCCUGUUGUAACAUGUCCUAAAGACAUGGGCUUAAAUAUAUUUGCCAAAGGAAAGGAUAAUUGGGGAGCUCUCAGUUCCUCGGACAUUUAACGAAAAGCUUAAAAAAAUGAUCAAAAAACAAUUAAAAGGUAGAAUUCUCCCUGUUUAUCAUGUACUACUACUCAAAUGUUGCAGAAGUUUGUUUAUGAUUCAUCUACAGUAUUACCUGUAAAGAUCCUAGAACAUUCUAAGAGAGUAUAAUUAUACUGUAAAGGUUUUACUAGGCAGUACAAAUACAGUUUUAAUUGAAAUGACUUACUUCUUGAUCCCAAUUGGUGGAGAGUAUCAUUGCGAUGAGAACCAAAAUUUGUACGAUCAUCGCGCAUAUAAUUCCCAUCCAUAGGCCCUGGAAAACCAAUUAUAUAGUUGUAGUAAGAAAAGCAAGUAAGAAAGCAUAUAUAGAUUUCCGUACUUAACAAGAAAGAGCAGAGUUAUAGCUCACCUUCCCACCGGCAUGGAAGAAAAAAGCAAAGAGAACAGCAGAUGGAAUGCCGACGACAUAAUAGGCACCGAGGUUGAUUACUGAACAUAUCUUCUGCCAACCACAUCCUCUAGCAGCGCCUGUAAGUUUUGACGUUUGAUAUUGAAAUAUAAAUAAAGCAAAUUAUACUUCAUAUUUCAUAAACAACUUUGGUAGAACAAUUAGCCGAACGCAAAUGAUAGGAGAAUGCAGAAUACUAUCGAGAAAACGAGAUCAUGCACCCUUUACAGAAACAAUCAAUACAAACGAAAGUUGUAGAAUUUUUUUUUGGAGAUUUAACAGGUAGUAUUGGGCAUAUACAGACAAGAAAAAAAACUAUGCAGAAGGGUUUUUAUACGAUGAAUGUAUAAAGCAAACUAAAUUGAGAAUUACAAAAUUCUGUAGUCUGAUGUCUUGUAGCAGAGAGCUAAGCUACUAACGUAUAAAGAUUCCAUGAGCGACUCAUGGACGCUAGGUUUCUUUUGGGGCAUAUAAGGGAACAUGACCUGUCUAGCGCACACAUUUUAUGUUGUACUCGGUUAUCUCUAUGAUUCAAACAUAAAAUUUUACUUUGUACUUGGAUAUUCCAAUUUUGUGGAAUAACCCAAACUGAAAAAAUUACCUAAAUUUGUCCCCAAGCCAAUGCCUGAAAGUACCACAGGGAGCAUGUGCGUGUACGUGAACAGUGAAUAAUAACAAAAUGCAGCAUAGAGGAUUUGGACUUAACCAACCUGAAAGAGUGCAUUGAAUCCCAUCCAUAAAAUCAGAAGCAGCAAGAAUCGGCAUCAUAGCUGAUACAUAUUUCACGACUUCUUCUUCAUUGCUAUAUAAGUAGCCCCAAAUAUCGCGCACCAAGAUGGUAGCUAAGGCAACAAUUAGGCCCUCGGUUAUGGCUAUGGCUACCACAACAUAUACCGACAAGCGUGCAGCUUGCGGAUGCCCGGCUCCUAGUUCGUUUGAAACUCUAAUACUGUAAGAGGGGGAAAAAAGAAAAAGAAAAAGAAAAAGAAAAAUAAGAUGAAAGCAAUACUGAUUAACAAUAUUACAUAAAAUGCAAAAAAUAGUUCAACUCCUCUUGCCUUGCAGCAUUGCUGAGACCAGUUGGGAUCGUAUAAACCACCCACAUUGUGUUCAGGCUGGCAAAAUAAGUUACGGUUACUAGACAAUAAAUUAUAGACUGUAAAAUUAAGUAACUUCAAAUUGCAUUGGUCCUUGGACAAAAGAGAAUAAUUUAAUGUUGAGGGAAGUGUUCCUUAGAACAGAAUAAGUAAAUUGCAAGCAAUUAGCAGAACAACAAGGUCAAACCAACCACCAUUUAAGGCAUUAAUAUUUAGAGCUAGAACUUGAAUAAGAUUGAAAGAGUAAACAACUAAAAACUGUGAACUCUGGAAACCAUCAGGGAUGGAGUCUCAAAAGGGAACACUCUUUUAUUGUAAAGGAAAGAUCAGCCAAUGUUUCCAUGAAAGGUCGGAUGAUUCCAUGAAGUAACGCUAGGACACAAUAGUUAGACAAAGCAGAGAAAACUUAUUCAACAGUAAGGAAGACUUUGCAAAGUUGUCGCAAUAAAAGAAUUGAAGGCAGAAAAGAUUUACUGCAAAAGCACAGAGUCGAGAGGUUUACAAAAUAUCUAGAAUUUUCUUCAAUUUCGACAAAAUCAUAGAAAACCAUAUAAUGAUUUGGAUGAUUCACAUAUCUAUUUCUGUCCAGAAGGAACAGAAAAUGACUCAACUACAAAUUUUUCUAUAAUCAUGCUUUCGUAAAUCCAUUUUCAAUCAUAUGCUGAAGUUGUAACCAGUGCUUUCUAGCAGAGAACAGAAAACAUCUUCUCUAUGCUACACUUGUCAAAUAUUUCCUUCUGCACAUUCUGCAGAAAUGAAACUGAGCAACCAUUUCAUGCAGGAACUUGGACCACUUUCAAGGACGUAAAAAGAGAAGGCAUCAACAGCUCUUUUGAGCAAAUGUGACAAUUCAUUCUAAAACUACAACAGAUAAGAAAAGUUUUAAAGUUCAUUUGCUAACCUGAUUGACAAAACUGAAGUCUCUAGUUUUGGAUUGGGAAGAAAACCAGCUAGAAGAACCACCAUUUCAAACGCCCAAUACUCUAAGCUGCAUCAAUUUGUGCUGAUAAACCAUCAUUAGUUAGUGCAUAAUUUGGGACAAAGAAAAUAGAUUUUAGACUAAACAGAAACAUUGAUCAUAGCCAGAUAAAAUCACAUAAUAUAUGAAGUUCUCACAAAAUAAGCAUAAGAAACAGUUACUUCCACAAGAUACUAUUCACAGAAGCCAGUAAGAGAGAGAGAGAGAGAGAGAGAGAGAGAGAGAGAGAGAGAGAGAAUACCAAUACUAUUUCUACAGCAUGAAAUAUCAUGCCACCAUGGAUGAAGGACUUGGCUGUCCUAUUAUGAAAACUAGUUUAUAUGUGAAGUGGAAAAGUAGCCAACCCAACUAGUAUUUAAUUUAUCAAAUUGCUAAGAAAACAUCUGUGAUGAAAGUAGGACAAGGGCCUCAAAAUGUUAAAAAGCAUAUUACCAGGGUACUUCUCUAUAAUAUAUCUAUGAAUUCUCUAAUUAUUUAAUUUAGCAUUCCAUACCAAAAAAAAUGACAAAAACCAUACAAGAUUAAAACAAGUACAUUUAUUUGAAAGGAAAAUUUUCUCCGCUAGGACUACGAAGGAAAAUUACCAAGUCAUAAAAGCGGAGGGAACAGCAAGUCUCAAAAAGUUAAGAACAUCACUUAGUGCCUCUGUUGAAAAUCCAGUCCAAGUCCUCCUGCAAGCUCGAGAGAGCUUGAUGUAUAAUGCUAAUAUAAGCGUGUUGAUCCAGUAGGAUAUAGUUGUCGCCAAUGCUGCACCUUUGGUUCCAAGGCCAGAUUUAUACACCAAAAUCCAGCAUAAUAUAAGAUGAAGUAAUGCAGUUACCCCAGAACUAAUCACCAUCGGAAAGAUUAUAUUUUGGGUUUGUAGAAAUCUAACGUGGCAUUGAAGCAAACCAUAGGCAAAGAGGCCAGGGAUCAGCCAACGAGCGUAUAAACCUGCUUCUUUUGAUAUUUCGGGAUUCUGACCAACGGCAAUGAGAAUUUGGCUUGUGUUGGCCCAAAUAAAAGCUAACGGAACACUUGCAAGGAGAAGAACAAACAUAGCCCUCUGCAUUUGUAUACCGAGGAUAUGGUAUUGUUUUGCCCCAUAGGCCUGCCCGCAAAGCGUGUCGAGUGCAGUUCCCAUACCAAGCUUGUUAUGAAAAAGGAAAGGAGAUCGAUUUAUUAUUGAAGCCUUACCAGUGAAAAUUGUAUAAAGAAGUAGUAAGGACUGAACAUGAGAUGGACUGUGAACAAGAGAGAAAGUAAUAACUGAAUCUUUUGAAAAGAAUACAGGUGGCAUGCAUUUUGUUGAGGCACAUUACCAUAUUUGCUUACAUAUUAUAUCUUCAAUAUUGGAUUAAAGAGAAAACAAAGAGAAAAGGGAAAAAAAAUUGAAAUGGUCGACAUAAUUCGGUUAUCGCAUUGCAAGUCUUCUACUUAAGUCAGCAAGUGUUUGUGUAUUACUUGAAGUAUUAUCGCCAUGAGAUGCUACUCUUCAAAAUCUAGAUCAACAUCUGAGCUUGGCUUAUUCCUGUCUUUUUAUGAUGAGUGACUCAACUAAGUCUAUGAACGUGAAACUCUGUAAAAGUGAUAGGUUAAAAAUACCAUUGUUCCCCUUGGUUAAAUAUUCUAUUGGCUCGAGCGGAAAUUGGCACAUCAGCGACAAUCAUAGCCAAGCGGCUAUUUCCUUCUGCUUGCCAAAAAAAAAGGAAAAAAAAGCUUGGGAGUUGAAACAAGAAAGUGCGUGAAGGUUGGAAAUCAACACUGUAAUUCAACAUUGAUAGGAUGAAACUAGCCAACAGAGCAAGCCUCUUUCCUGGUAAAGAAAAUUAAGGCAAUCCUCAGAUACUUUAUUUUUAUCCUUAUCCACUAUUCUUUUUGUAAGUCAAAGAUCAUUUUUCUCAUUUCUAACAGGUAAAAAUAGAAAAAAAAAAAAACACGUAUGGAGACCCCCCAAUGUUUUUUUCUUUUCGGAUGAGACCCCUCAACUUUCGUUUAUUUUGAGUUAACUAAUUCACAUCAAAUUAAUUUGGGAUUUCAUUAAAUUCAACGAUGAUUUUGUUAAAUUUAAUGGUUUACCCUUUUUUAGCUAAUAUAAAUGUUGCUUCAACAAAGUUUUCGCCCAAAUUAAAAUAACUGAACAUUAAGAGGAUGCCGAUCCAAAAAAAUUUAGUCCUGAGAUCUAUUUCACAAUGGUCUACAAUUGAUGGGGUCUCCUUACAACUUGGCUCUUUUUUGAUGUAGGAAUAAGAUAUUCAAGAAUAAUCUCAUGAACAUUUUCUUGUGUGAUUAUAAUCGAGGAGCUUGAUUUUUGCUCCUUGAAAAGUCUUAUUAUCCCUGAUUUAGUAUGAUAAAUCUAGAAGAUGAUUUAUUUUAUUCCAAUAAAAAGACUUAAAUGUCGAAUAUGAUAUUCAUUCUGGACAUUUGAUCACAUUACUCAUCUACCAAAUAUCACAUGCUUCUCGAAUAAAUAAAAAAAGAUAUCCCGAAUAAGAUGCUCACGCAUCCAAACAAGGCCUAGGUGUUUAUAAAUUUUUAGCUGUUGGAUCUAUUCUUUUGACCUUUGGAUCAGAAGUCAACAAUGGUGGCUUCUUGCAAGGCCUACUAUUGUGCAUGACAUAAGGACCGCUAGGGCUAAUUCAAUGCUCAAAUAGGCUAUAGCACAAACACCUUAGUGUUUCUAAAACCACCCCAGCAAGACACUCUCUCUCUCUCUCUCUCUCUCUCUCUCUCUCUCUCUCUCUCUCUCUCUAUAUAUAUAUAUAUAUAUAUAUAUAUAUAUAUAUAUAUAUAUUAUUACCUUAUAUUUACUAGGAUAUCACAACUCACAAGCAAACUCUUUCUCUCGUAUUAUUCUACUCAAUCAGUGACAUCACUGCAACAUACAUUAUUCGUGACAAGAGAGAAUGGAAUAGGAGAGUUGAUAGGCUGGGCCAGCAUUCACGUGGCAUUUUCACCAACUUUUAAUUAACUCUUAAAUAAAUAAACAAAAGCUUUUCUCAACACGUAUUCACGUACGUAUCCAUGUCUAAAUCUAAUGGCCAUUCUAUAUGGUCGAUAGCUUGGUUGAUUUUUUUUUCUUUUUAUUUUUGUUUUUUUGGUUCUGUGUGGGUUUGGUUAGAGCCACAACAAAAAAAGAAGGGUGNUAGGUAAAUGAUAUCAAAAAAUCGCAAAAAUUAUUUUCUAGAAACUUCAAAUGCUCUAGAUCAAGUCUAACGGAGCCGAUCGUCGAUUCGAAAAUUCCAUCAUCGAAAACGGCUCAGGAGCACGGAGGCCUGAGAGCACAGCAGCCCUGCUCUAUAUAUAUAUAUAUAUAUAUAUAUAUAUAUAUAUAUAUAUAUAUAUAUAUAUAUAUAUUAAGAAGUAGCAACACAUAAUUCACCAACCAACCAAGAAACGAACACAUACAAAUACCCUAUGAGACAAAUCAUCAAACACCUUACAUGCAAUCCACGCUCCCUUUCCUCAUCAACCCAAAACUAAAUCACGUACCAGGACGCUGAAUCCGGUGACGUUGGCGAAGGAGGCGGCGACGGAGGCGCCGGAGAGGGCGAGCUCGCCGAGGUGGCCGACGACCAUGACGGAGAUGACCUGGAGCAGGUACUGAAGGAGGCUCACGGCGAUCAAUGGCGCCGCGAGCCCUAGCUGCCGAGGGACCUCAUCGGCGACGGCGAUGGAGAUCGGAGGGUUAGGGUUUUGCUCGGAGGAGGAGGAGGAGGAGGAGGGGAGAAGAGGGGAAUGGGGAGAUGGGUUCUCCUCUUCUCCUUCUCCCAUUGAAGGGGUUUUAUUAAUUUCUCUCCUUGCUUGCUAUGGAGGGAGACGAGAGUCGAGAAGAGAAAGGAUUCAAAGGAAUGGAGAGCGAUUUAAACGUUAAAAAAAGGUCAACUGUGUAGAGGACGAUUUUACAAUUUAAUACUUUACAAAUUUAUAAUUUCAAACUGAUCCUCUAAAAAUUUAUUUUGACAAAAUUUAAAUGAUGAUGGCUUAUUAUUAAGUUUUUCUCUUGAUCAAAUCCUAACAAUUCAUUUAUAUAAUUCUAACAAUCAAACAAAAAAUUUUAUAAUUCAUAUAUAAUUUUAAUAAUCUUAUAAAAAUCUUCAUAAUCUAUUAAAAAAAUAAUAAUAAACUGUAAAUAAUAAAUGAUUCACUGCUUUCUAAAGGCGGUGUUUUUCGUUUCUAAUUAUGUGAAUCUCUAGACACUGAGUUGGAAAAAAGAGAGUUCACUGGCCAAACAAUAUUUUUGAAAGAGUCAAUUUACAAAUUAGAAAUUUUAUAAGGUUCUUGUUAGAAACAACUACGUAUAAGUUUCGAUUUUAAAUGUUUUGCGUGGACCCGGUUCCUCCGUACACUCGUGGGCCGCCCACCUCAUGUAUAAAUAUCCCUUUGUUCCCCUCCCUCUUUAUCCGCUUCAAUUCUCGGCCACUCCACUCUCUCUCUCUCUUUCUCUCUCUCUCCUCUUCCUCCUCUCUCCACCCAACGAUGCAAACCCCAAUCCAACCCCUCCCACCUCUCCGCACCCACCUCCUAAACCCCCAACCCCACCUCCCCCUCCUUCUCCUCCUCCGCCGCCCCUCCCCGCUCCGGCGUUCGCCGCCGCCGCCGCGCUACUUGAGAGCUCGCUGCUACGGCGUCGGCGGCGGCGGAGGUGGAGUGGAGCCCCAGAAGAGGAAGAAGGCGGGGGCGGUGUCGGCGGUAGCGGCGGCGGCGGCGGCGGCGUACCCCUUUGGCGAGAUCGAGCCGCGGUGGCAGCGGUUCUGGGAGGAGCACCGCACGUUCCGCACCCCUGACGAGGUCGACACCUCCAAGCCAAAGUGCUACAUCCUCGACAUGUUCCCUUACCCCAGGUGAAAACUCCUAACCCUAAUUGGGGGAGAGAAACCCUUUUUGGGUUUCUGGUGGAAAGAUUUGGUCUUGGGAAUUUACGAACUUAUUAAAGAAGUGGUGCUAAAUUGGGAUUUAAUUUGUUGUCUGAGAAAUGAGGGGAAGCCAUUUGUUUUCUUGCAGAAAGGUUUGGUCUUGGAGGGGAGGUGAGUACCCAUUAGUUAGUCUUGUGGGAAUAUAAGAAUGUGGUGUAAUGAGGAAAGAGCUGGGUUACUUAGAUAGAAUUUCUUAAGUGGACUUAAUUUGCUAUUAUAGGUGAGCGUCUUGAUAAUAAUGAUGGUUGUUUAUUUAUUUAUUCUUUUCCCGAUGUUGGAUGGGUUUUAAUUUCCUAUGGUCUAUAUCUCUUUGUUGUUUUUUUUUUUUUUUUUUUUUUUUUUUUUUUUNCAUUUCUUGAUUUACUCUUCCCUAGACUCUUCAUUAUUACGUAUGAUAGAAAUUGGGGAACAUUAAUUCGGAGAUUUGGAUUUUUUCGUAAUGAAUAAGGAGACAUUUUUAUGUAGGUAUGUAUCAAAAGGAUGCUACCUAUCGUUGGUGUGAUGUAGGAAAAGAAUUGAUUUGUCCUUCUUGAUUGGCAACUCGCAGCUGAAGCUAUUGAGUUGAUGAGAGUAUACCCUGUCUUAAUGCAUGAAAGACGAUUCACUUACAAAUUAGGUUUUAUAGUGCUUAUUGUCUUAUUGGAAGAUUGAUCAUGUUUGUUUGAUCAAUCUUCCUGUUUCCACUCUUCUUAUUGGAAGAUUUGUCCUUCUUGAUUGGCAACUCGCAGCUGAAGCUAUUGAGUUGAUGAGAGUAUACCCUGUCUUAAUGCAUGAAAGAUGAUUCACUUACAAAUUAGGUUUUAUAGUGCUUAUUGUCUUAUUGGAAGAUUGAUCAUGUUUGUUUGAUCAAUCUUCCUGUUUCCACUCUUCUUAUUGGAAGAUUUGUCCUUCUUGAUUGGCAACUCGCAGCUGAAGCUAUUGAGUUGAUGAGAGUAUACCCUGUCUUAAUGCAUGAAAGAUGAUUCACUUACAAAUUAGGUUUUAUAGUGCUUAUUGUCUUAUUGGAAGAUUGAUCAUGUUUGUUUGAUCAAUCUUCCUGUUUCCACUCUUCUUAUUGGAAGAUUUGUCCUUCUUGAUUGGCAACUCGCAGCUGAAGCUAUUGAGUUGAUGAGAGUAUACCCUGUCUUAAUGCAUGAAAGAUGAUUCACUUACAAAUUAGGUUUUAUAGUGCUUAUUGUCUUAUUGGAAGAUUGAUCAUGUUUGUUUGAUCAAUCUUCCUGUUUCCACUCUUCUUAUUGCAAAGUUGAACUUAAGAUUACAUGAACAAUUUCAAAUGCACAAUGUUGUGGACUUUGAGUGGCCUUAUAUUCAAUUCUGAUCUUUAUUUGACUAGGAUGAUCUCACAUAACUUUCACAAUUUGUUUCUGAAUUCACUUAGUCUUUUUGCUUAAAAUAAAAUGAGGCCAUGAACAAUUACUUUGCAGCGGAGCUGGACUACAUGUUGGUCAUCCCCUUGGAUACACGGCAACUGACAUUCUCUCAAGAUAUAAACGCAUGAAAGGUUUCAAUGUUCUGCACCCAAUGGGAUGGGAUGCAUUUGGUCUUCCAGCUGAGCAAUAUGCUAUCGAGGUUGAAUUGAAACUUUUUGUGGCAAAUGCACUGGUGUAUGCCUUUUUUGUUUUUGGGUGAAUAACCCACCUCAUGCACAGACAGGAACCCAUCCAAAGAUCACAACAAAGCGAAACAUUGAACGAUUCCGGUCACAGGUAAUUUUGAUGUGACUUGUCUUUGUUGACAUUUUUAAUUUUCUGUUUGAAAAUUGAAGAUGUUUAAUUUCAAUAUGUUAUAUCAAGUUUGUCAUGUCAGGAUCAUUUAGACUAAGAGAGACAAUUAUAUGUGGUUAAUGCAUGUUUGUGCUAGUACGGCAGUUGUUGAACUUUCUGGCUUAUUUUUCAAUUGUUAGCCAAACAAGCCAUUACUCUAUGAUUUACUUGGAUGUUUAUAUCUUUUUUUGCAGCUAAAAUCUUUAGGAUUUUCUUAUGACUGGGAUCGUGAAAUAUCCACCACUGAACCAGAUUACUAUAAAUGGACCCAAUGGAUUUUUCUUCAGCUUCUGAAGACAGGACUGGCAUACCAGGUCCUGAAAACUGAACUAUUAUUUACUCGUUGGACUGCCCUGUUUGCUGUACUUAUUAUGUUUUGAUAGUGUUGUAGUUGUGGUUUAUGAUGGUUUAUGCUAGCAUUACUUUUGAUAUAUUUACAACAGGCUGAGGUACCUGUUAACUGGUGCCCUGCUCUUGGCACUGUUUUGGCGAACGAAGAAGUCAUCAAUGGUGUCAGUGAACGAGGCGGUUUUCCUGUUAUAAGAAAGGUAUUCAUGGAAUUUUUUAGAUCGUCUUAUUGUUUCAUUUUUUUUUCAUUAUUUCCCAUUUACCCUUUUUUGAUUAGUCACAUGUUUGUUUUCAAUUACUUAGAAGGCACACUUAGGGUCUUUUUUAUUUUUUCGGCUAGAUCUUCUGCACGAGUGCUGUUUGAAGGGAUGUGCUUGAAGAAGCACUAGUAGCUUUUUCACCAAAAUCUUCUUUAUAGCUUCUCAUGACAGAGGAAGCAGAAGUUUUAUAUUGGAGUUUUUGCUUUUGAGGCAAAAAAAAAUCAUUUUAGCUUUUGCCUCAGCAAUAGCUGGAAACUAUGGGCGUGUUUGGUUCAAAAUAGGAAUUGUAAUCGGAAUGGGAAUCGAAAUGGACUGGAAUCGAACAUGGAAUGGUAAAAUCCUCCAAUAUGUUUGGUUUAGAAUAACAAUUGGAAUCAGCAUAAGUUGAUUCCUAUUUUCACCGUUUGGUUGAGAUGGAAAAAAUUUUGUUUAUCAAAAAAAUAAUUAAAAAAAUAUAUAAAAUAUGAAAAUAUAAAAUUAAAUUUAAAAUUGAGUUUGCAGCUCAAAACAUAGAAAUAAAUUUAUAAUUUAAAUUCAAACUAAGACUGAAAUAUUAAAUAUUUACAGCAAAAAUUUAAAAUGACAAGCCAAAAUUUUAAAUGUAAAUUUUUUUUAAAAAAUAUAAUUUAAAAUUGAGUUGACAAUUCAAAAUAUAAAUUUGAAUUCCAAUUUGAAUCCAUAAAUUUAAUUUAAAAUUCAAAUAAAAUUUUAAAUUUAAAAUUUGAAUGUGAAAUUUGAAUUUGAAUUUGAAUUUGAAUUUAAAUUCAUAUAUUAAAUUCAAAAUGCUUUAUGAAUUUAAAUUUUAAUUUAAGUUCAAAUCAAAAUAUAAAAUGUAAAAUUUAAUUUCUAAAUUUAAACUUGUAGUUUUAAUUAAAAAUUGAAUUUAAAAAGUUUCAUUUAAUUUUAAAUCAAAAUAUAAAAUAUAAUCAGGAUAUUUUCGUAGAAAGUAUUCAUCCCGCCUAUAUUCAAUUUCCAAUCAGGCCUUCUAGAUUGGAUUGGAAAAUUGGGUGACCGGGGGAUUCUUGUUCCAUUCGGGAAUUGGAAUCGGAAUGGGACUCCGCAUACCAAACACCCACAAACAGAAUUGUCCAAUUCCAAUUCUGAUUCCUUGGUUCAAAUAGGGUGAACCAAACACGCCCUGUAUGUUAGCCAAAUACUUGGUUUUGAAAACCUUCUACAUUCUGGAGUAGAUAUUCUAUUCCAAAAGCCAGGACAAUUAAGCACUUAGCGCAUUGAUUGGAAUUACCUUGUUACCCUUUUUUUGUUGCCCAAGUAGCCUAUGCGGCAAUGGAUGCUCAAGAUUACAGCUUACGCUGAUCGCCUUCUUGAAGAUUUGGACGAUCUUGAUUGGCCAGAAAGCAUCAAAGAAAUGCAGAGAAAUUGGAUAGGGCGCUCUGAAGGUGCUGAAAUCGAAUUUCAUAUUGUUGAUUUUCAAGGACAGGAACGAGGAUUACAUCUAUCUGUCUUCACAACCAGACCAGACACCAUCUUUGGCGCAACGUAAAUAUCAUUAGUUUUAUAUAUGCAUAUAUUAUGUGAAAAAUAUAAUUUGAAUUUAGAUGUAUUUACAUUAACACCCCUGCCACGCUAUUUAUUUGUUUAUAUCCUGGCAAAAUCUCAAUUAUCAUAUAAGCACUUCGAAAAUCUUUUCUAUACAAAGCCAGCUUCCCUCCUGGAAUUUGGAUGGCACUCUAAGUUAUUACAGCAUUUUAGUAGGAAUUUGCAACUGUGAGGGGUAUAUACGAAAUUAAGAUUUCCCAGGGUUAUAUAUGAUUUUGCAGGGAUAUUUACGGGAAUGCCCCUUUUAUGUACUGUUUGAAUGAUAGUACAAUCUUGAACUCUCUCUUAUGUUGCAGAUAUCUUGUUGUGGCGCCGGAGCAUUUCCUAUUAUCGUCAUUAAUAACCGAGGAUCACCGUGAAAUUGUAUGUUUUCGUCUUUUAAAGUUUAGAUUCAUGAACACUCGAAAGAAAAUAAAAAAGAAAAUUUUGCAUUCAGGUUGAGGAAUAUGUAGAGCUGGCUGCAAGAAAGAGUGAGCUUGAAAGAACAGAUCUUCAGAAGGAGAAAACUGGAGUUUUUAGUGGUUCGUAUGCUAAGAAUCCAGCUACCGGAGAAAAAAUUCCAAUAUGGAUAGCAGAUUAUGUUUUAGGAAGGUUUAUCUAUUUUCAUUUCUUUACAUUUAUUUUGCAUUUGUUAGUUAUUAUACUUUGUGAUGGCUGCACAAGUUUUUCUAAGAUUGUAAUGGUUGGUAACAGACUGCUUAAAUAUUGUGUAGGAGUUAUUAUUUGCGUUUUUUUGGCUGGUCCUUGCUGUCUUUUUCUUUUAAAGUUAACUAGUCUUCUAAGAGUACUUGACUUUUUCAUUGUUUUUAGUUUCUCCAAUGUGAAGUAUCUUUAAUGCCAUGUCUUGCAUUUUCAUAUUUAUUUUUUUUUGAUAUUUUAUAUUUACAAGUUAGUGUGCUCCUAUAUUAUUGAUAUAUUGGUGUACAGAAAUUAUGUUGCUUAGCUGUUGCAAAGCUCAUUUCAACAAAUUAAGAAUUAUAAUCCUUCAUUAAGAUAUCUUAAAAUCUAGCUUUUAUUUUUGGUUAUUUUCUUUGUUCAUCAUUUAAGGAGUUGUUUUAGUGUAAUCACUCAAAGUGUUCUUGGAGACAGAAUUUUUUCCUAAUAUGGCAAACCUCACAUAACAUUUCAUUUUUUUGUAAAGAACAGUGUCAAAUUUGUUAUACAGAAAACUGUAGACAAAAAUCUGACUUUCAGAAUUUUGAUAUGCAAGUUGACAUGUUCUCCUACCUGUACAUGUAGUUUCUGUUUGGUGACUAGGACAUAGGGUUUGGAGAUUACAGAGAUUUCACAUAUACACCCUUGCAAAAUUAUCUAUGUAUAUUUUUUGUUUCCCUGUAAUGUGUAUGCCCUUCAAGAACUUAAAUUUGCUUCAUAUAUACCCUUGAACAUGCUAAGGUGUCCCUCUUUAAGAAACAUUUUCUGAACAAAACCAACCUCCCUCCAUGGAUUAUAUGAUUUUCAAACUUAGGGGUAUCUUUGUAAGAAACUGCAGUUUGAGGGGGUAUGCAUGAAGUUUCAGAUUUUACAGGUUUAUAAGUGCAAGUAGAUGAUUUUGUUUUGAUAUGUGUGUAUAGACCUCUCAUCAUUAUUUCUGUUAUUGGCAAUCAAUUAUAAGCUUCACUCCUCUGCUGCAACAUCAUAAUCUAUGAUUUGUAUUCAUCAUGCAGUUAUGGCACUGGAGCAAUCAUGGCCGUACCUGCACAUGACUCUCGUGACUAUGAGUUUGCCUUAAAAUAUAACAUACCAAUAGUUUGGGUCGUAAAACCAUCUGAUGAAAUUUGCGAUCUAAAUGAGCCAUAUGUUGAUGAUGGUAUCAUAGUAAACUCAUCCAGUUCGGUAUCUGGGUUGAAUAUUACUGGUCUAUCUUGCAAGGAUGGUGCUUCAAAAGUCAUUCAAUGGCUUGAGAGUACUAACAAUGGAAAGAAAAAGGUGCUUUCAUUUGCCCAAAUUUGAAUCUAGCCCCUAAAGUUUGACUCCGAUCUUAAGUCUUGUCCUCACUCUAAUUUUAACAAUUUAAACCCUGAAACUUGACUGUUAUUUUGAUUUUGUGCGCAGAAUUCAAGUUAAGCAAUUCAGUCCUGAAGUUUAACCCCGAUUUCAAUUUUGAAAAAAAGAAAAGUCUAAGAAUAGUGCUGACAUGGCAUCUAUUUCAGAUAGUAUACUAACUGAUGGAAUUAAAUUGUCGCAUGCAACAAGCUUCAGGGACAACAUUGAUAAAAUGGAAACUAAAAGGAUGAAGUUAAAAUUGGAGUCAAACUUUAAGUACUUUAAUGUUAAGUAACCAAUUCUUUUUUAUACUUAUUGUGUUGUACGGCAAUUUAAAUUUGAAUAAAAUCCAUGCUCAGGUAAAUUACAAGCUAAGAGAUUGGCUUUUUGCUCGACAACGCUAUUGGGGUGAACCUUUCCCUGUAAUUUACCUUGAUGACACUGAUGAAAUAGUGCCUCUUUUGGAAAGUGAGCUGCCACUAACUCUUCCUGAAUUGGAUGACUUCACUCCAACUGGAACAGGAGAACCUCCUUUGGCGAAAGCCAUAUCUUGGGUAUGUUUUUCUUUUACUAAUUUUGAUGCAGGUGUAUUUGAUAGCGUGCUUCAGAAACUUUUUCAUGUAGUUGUAGUUAUAGGCUGGUUAGUUUCAUUCACUAUGAUGAUUUGUACUUACAUAAAAUGAAGAAGUGAAAAGAUAACAGCAAAAUUGGUUAGAGGAAAUAUAAGGUGGUGAAAACCCAGGAUAACAUUGACAAUUAGCAAAAUUUUCUUCUAUUGUCAUUCGAAGGUGAAAAAUAAAAGCUGUUAUCUUGUAUCCCAUAGGUUGUUUUAUACGUAGGGGUGUAAAUGAGCCGAAUACGAGCGAGCUGGGGUUGGCUCGUGUUCGCGAGCUGGCUUGUUAAAGUAUGGAGCUAAAAAAUUUAGCUCGUGUUCGGCUCGUUAAUAAACAAGCCGAAUACGAGCUAGUUCACGAGUUGGCCAACGAACAAUAAAUUAAAAUGAUUAGAUUGAAUAUAUAUAAAAAAUAAAUUUAUAAAAUCUUAUCCAUUAGACUUUGAUCUAAUGGUUGAAACUUUACAUAUAAAUGAGUCUUUUUAUAAUUGAGCUUGUCUUUAUAUUUUUAUUUUUCUAAAAAUUAAAUAAUAAAAAUAUAUAUUAUAUAUAUAAUUAUUUAUUUAUAUAUAUAAAUAUAAAUUAAAUAAAUUAUAUAAAUAUAAAAUAUAUGUAUUCGAGCUGUUAUUGAGCCGAACACGAGCGAGCUGACCCCAGCUCGUGUUCGGCUCGUUUAUUAAACGAGCUGAAAAAUUCAGCUCGUGUUCGGCUNCUCGUUUACUAAACGAGCGAUUUGAUCUCGAGCUCAUUUCGAGUCGAACACGAGUUGACUCACGAACAGUGAGCUGGAUUGCCACCCCUAUUUACACGUAUAACCUUCUUCGGAAGUUUUUUUUUUUUUGGUUUUUUCCUUAUUUUUCCUUUCAAAUAACUAUUCGGAUGGAGUAGAAAGAAGGCAUAGUUUCUCUAUGCAGUUCUUGCUGUUUUGAAACUCAUUUCUCGUCUGCCUUAUGUAAUAUGUCUAAAAUGAAUUCCAUCUUCUUAUUUAGGUUAAAACUGUUGAUCGUUUAUCGGGGAAACCUGCAAGAAGGGAAACUAGUACAAUGCCACAAUGGGCUGGAUCCUGCUGGUAACUUCGUCACCUUUUUGUUAAUGGAUGGAAUUCGAAAAACCAUAUAAAAAUUAAAUAGUGUAAUGAGUUUUAAUUUGUCGUUUCCUCUUACUAUUAUAGAAGUUAAAUAGUGUAACUAUUUUCAAAUUAUGUAUCCAUUAAAUAUAAAACUUCUUAUUUUUAAAUAACUUGUUAGGUACUAUUUGAGAUUCAUGGAUCCCCAAAAUCCCACUACUCUGGUUGACAAGGCGAAAGAAAGGUAGGGAAGAUUUUUAUUUCAUUUAUUCUUUACAGCCACAAGGAAGGUUUUAUUGGAGCAGCUAAUAUGUUUAAUUUAUCACCAGAUAUUGGGGCCCUGUUGACAUUUAUGUUGGCGGUGCUGAGCAUUCUGUCCUACAUUUGCUUUAUGCGAGAUUCUGGCACAAGGUUUUUUCAAACUGUAAUUAAUUGAUACUUAAAUUUCAUUGAAGGUUAUUACAAUUUAUUUAUUAUUUAUUUGAUUUACGUAUUUAUUUUUUGUUGAAGGUUAUAACAAUAUCUGUGAAAUUCUAUUUGCCCUUGUAUAUGCAGUCUCUACACAUUCUUUGAUUGCCUUUAAGUUUUGCGCAAAAUGGCUUAAUGUUGAUUAGGUUGUAUGCUGUCUGAGUUAAUCUGAAGAAGUCUGCCAAAUACAAGUUAGUUGGCAAUGUGUGGCUUGUAAUCUAGUAGAACCCAUCCACUUAGUUGCUUUUUAGAACACAGUAUUUUCAGAGAUUACUUGAGCUUAGGGAGUAAAUAAAUGGUAGAAUUUUCAAAACUUAAUUAUCAUUUUACUUCUGCUAUGUGGUUGUAAUUUUUUUGCUUCUACUCACCUCUUUCUUUGUUAAAUAUGCCUUUUAGGUUCUAUAUGAUAUUGGCAUCGUUUCCACCAAAGAGCCAUUCAAGUGCUUGAUAAAUCAAGGGUUAAUACUAGGAGAAGUAAGUAACUUAACUUUCCGAAGCUAUCUGUAUAAUAUUAUCCUUAUUACUUUCUAACUACUGUAGUAAUAGGUUGAAUAUACCGCGUUUAAAGAUCAAGAAGGUAGAUGGAUCUCUGCAGAUUCUGCCAGUUCAAGUGAGUAUUACCAAGAAAAAGUGCCUGCAGAGAAGGUGCGGUUCAAAAUAGACAAGUGUUAUUAUACUAUUAUUGAAGUCGGAAAUCGUUUUUAUUUCAAUUCACAUUUCAAUUUUUCUUGUAGGUCACGAAGGAUGGCGACUAUUUUGUGCUAAAAGACAACCCAAACAUUCGUUUAAAUGCUCGCGCCUACAAAAUGAGUAAAAGUCGCGGCAAUGUCAUUAAUCCAGAUGAUGUCGUUUCUGAAUAUGGUGCUGAUUCCCUACGCUUGUAUGAAAUGUUCAUGGGACCAUUGAGGUAUCUUUUUCCUCUAGGGACUAUACUCUUAUGAGUACAGAGGCCUUUGUUUUCAUUAUUCGUUUUCGAUGAUAGCGCUUCCAAAUCGAGUAUCGAUACCGUUAAACAUGAUUUAGAGCAUUUGAAAUGAAUUUCGUAAUUUUUUGUAAUUAUAAUAAAGUCCAAGCGGGCAUAAAAUGAACGGUCAAAAUCGAUCAGCCUCCUAAAAAUAAAGAACCAGAUUCUUCAAUUAAGAUCGGAGUUAUUGAUUUUUAUGUAGAUAGUGAAUGAAAUUUUCUAUCAAAAAUUUAACCGGUUUUAAUUCUUUUAGCCACCGUUUGGUUGGGGGUUAAGGGGUGGAAUAACCCCUUAACCCCCAAUUUAUACCCAAACACCACUCUUAGCCACCGUUUGGUUGGGGGUUAAGGGGUGGAAUAACCCCUUAACCCCCAAUUUAUACCCAAACACCACUCUUUUGGGGUGGGGUUAGUAAACCCCACCCCAAACCGGGUUAGUGGGGUUUACUAACCCCACUCCCCCUCCCAACUUUAACCCCGCACGCAUCCCGAGCUCUCACCUUUUUCUUCUUUAUCAAUCAUUAUCUUUUUAUCCCACCUACUCCAACCAAACACUUUUUUUCACUAUCCUAGACUAACUCCAACCUCCAACCAAACACAAAAAAAUUUUAACACCAUUUUAACCCUGAACUUAACCCUAUCCCUGGAAUAGCUACUUUUUCUUAACCCCGAACCAAACGGGGGCUUACACCAUUGAACUAGCAAGCAUCCCAUACUAGCUGUUUAAAAUGUUUAUUUUGAAAUCUUUUGAUCAUAAGUUAAAUAAUGUCAAAAAAUUAUGAAAUUUGGUUUCUAGAAGUAUUAAAUGCUCUAAAUCAUGUUUAACGAUAUGUAUUGUAGAUUCAAAAGUUUUAUCAUUGAAAACGAUUUAUGAGUAUGAAGGCGACCCGAAAGAGCAUAGUAGCUGGACUAUGUAUAUAUAGAGAACUAUGGUUACUAUGUUUUCAAAAGUAUAGAGGUCUUCAUGCUCUCAAGUUGUUUUUGAUGAUGGGACAUUCGAUUCCGCAAUUGGCGCCGUUAGACAUGAUCUACAGUGUUGGAGUUAUCUAGAAACCAAAUUUUAUAAUUUUUAGAUUUUGUUUGCCUAGUGAAUGAGUAGACUUAAAAUGAACGAAUGAAAAAAAAAAAUCAUAAAAAUAGUGAUAAAAGACUUAAAUUUCACCUAAUUAGGUAAGUAGAAUAUUCUAUUAAAAUUUCACCUAAUUUUGAUUGUUUACACUGUUGAACUUACAAAUGUACCAGUGUACCACAUCGGCCAUUAAAAUAGUCAUUUUUAAGAUACUUCUAUCACUUGACAAAUGAUGUUGAGAAAUUAUAAAAUUUGGUUUCUAGAUAGUUCUAGUAGCAUAAAUCAUGUCUAAUGAACCCAAUCGCCGACUCGGAUAUCCUAUCAUCAAAAACAACUUGAAAGUAUAGAAACCUCCGUGCUUUUGGAAGCACAGAAGACGUACCCGAUAGAUAUUUAUAUAUCGGUGCCAAAAAAAUAAAUAUUUCAUGCCAUAUUGUGUUGGUAUACAUGUAUUUUUAUCACUGGCACACACUGGCACGGUAUGACAUGCAUUAUAUCAUAUCGUGUUAGCAAGUUUUUGACACAACCCCAUAUCACGACACUUAAAUCCUUGUAUAAACCCCUCAAAAGUUCAAUUCUUACUCAAGUACCCUUAAGUUGGGUGGUCAUGCCACUCACACUAGAAUUUGCUUUUGCUAAAAAUUAUUGUGAAGGGUCAUUCUUUUUCUUUUGUAAAUUCAUGGAUAUAUAUAUAUGUAAGAAAUCAAAAUUUUCAUGGGCAUAUCUCCAGGUUGCAAAUAUUUCAGGGAUAUAUACUUACAAUAAAUUUUCAAGGAUAUAUAUGUAAAUGGUACUUGUUCUUUCUAUAUUAAAUUCUUGAUGCAUGAGUCAAGCGCUUGCAAACUAGGUGCAAACCCUGAACAUUUUUGCUCUUUUUUUCAGAGAUUCAAAAACAUGGAGUACUGGUGGGAUUGAAGGAGUACAUCGGUUUCUAGCAAGGACAUGGAGGCUGAUUGUGGGCCCUCCUUUACCUGAUGGAUCGUAUAGAGAUGGAACAAUUGCAUCCAAUGAUGAGCCAACCAUGGAACAGCUUCGCACUCUUCACAAAUGUAUUGCAAAGGUCAGAUUCCUUUCCUCUUGAACUUAAUGAUAUGAUUCGUUUCGUCAGGUCACUUGGAUGAACUUAAAUCAUCCUUUUCUUCGUUUAAUAUUGAAAAAGAAAGUGAUGCUUUUCUCACGUAGCUGUAAAAUGCAUUUGUAUAAAAAGUCAGAAGUUAAUUUUUAGUUCUAAAACUAUUCAUACUUCCAAAAUUUUAGUGCAAACCUCAAGUCUAACAUUGGCCAAGAAAGCAGAUUCUGAUUUUGGCUAAAACGUACUAUGCUGUAAGUAUCAUGAUUUUCACAUUGCUGUGCUGAUAGUUUACGCAUUUACCUGUGAACAAACUGAUGAAUAUCACCUAAUGGAACAUUGACUAUGGAGGCUAAGUUACAAAAUCUUGUAGUAGCAGUUUCUGGCAAUUUAGCAACAGGUGUGGUUCUUUAACCUCCAAUUUAUUGAGAAGAAGCUUGCAGGAGUCCACGUUGAGACAAGUUCCUCUAUAAGAAGGCACGCUCUGCGAUUAGCCUUUUUGCUGCAGAUAGUCCCAAAGGACCAAAAAUUACAAACUACAUUUAUUAUUGGAAAGUACACUCUGUUUAUCCCUAGUUAUCACUUUCUCUGUAUGCAUAUGUAUGAGCAUGUGCGUGUGCAUGUGUCUGCACCUGCGUGCAUGCGUAUGUGCAUGCAUGUGGGUGCAUGUGUGUGGAUGCAGUAUGCAUGCAUGUAUGCCAAAAUUUGUUCUAGAUGUACAGCACCAUAAUUUUUAUCCAUGGGAAAUAAUUUACUGUCUACAUUUAAAGUUGUGAGAUGAAGAUGUACCAAACUUCUUUGGUUAAUUGUUGUGUUUAUUGAUUUUCCAGGUGGCAGAAGAAAUUCAAGAAACAAGAUUCAAUACUGGAAUUUCUGCGAUGAUGGAGUUCAUAAAUGCUGCAUACAAGGUCUCUUCUAUCAUUUGAGGCAUUAGCUUAUUAGCUUAGUAUGGGAUAAAGUGUUUUUAUAUCACUAUUGUACUUUCUUACUAAUGGAAUGCUAAUUCUUACAGAUAAUUGUUUUUUUUGUCACUUUCUAAACUUAGAUGUAAUUUGAAGUAGUAUGUCCCUUUGGAGAUACUGUUUGCAUUGUUCUUUUUUUUUGUACACUAGGUUCAUAUACUUAGGUUCAUAUAUUGUGAAAACCUUGUUGAAUACUAUUAUUCGAAAUGUCCAGUCCACUAUUUUGUCCAAAGUGAUAGAUCGAUCAGGAUUACAUCUAAUUUAUUACUUGUAAGAAGUGAUCUGUUGAUAAAACCAAUUAAAUAAGCAUAAGUCUCAUUUAAAAGGGAUCAGUAUUUUAAUAGUAGAAUUGUUUCCUUAGCUCUAUUGAUCCUUGUGUUCAAAUGCUAACCAAAAUUUACUUCUCAUCUUUUUGAUGAAAUGCUGGGAACUUGUAGUUGCAUCAUAAUGAUUGAUAGAUGACCUAAAGAUCAUAUUACCCUUUUAAUCAAGCCAACAGAUUCAAUGUAUUUCUGUCUAAUAUUUUCCAGGUUAUUCAUGCCAAAUGACAAAUGGAAUUACCCAACUGUUAUUAACUUAUUGUAGUUGAUGGUUAGAUAAUUUGUUUGCUGGUUACUUCAUGAAAAUAUUGUUGAUUUGUUUUGAAGAAUUAUUGAUCGUUUCUACUGCAUAUAUUUUAAUAAAAUUUUGAUAGUGAUUAUGUUCACUUGCUUUGUCGGUUGACUGAAUUACUCAACUAUUGUUAGCAUUUGCAAAAUCACAAUGAUAUAUUGUUUUGAUAAACUGAUUGCUUUUUUUUUUUUUUUUUUUUUUUUUUUUUUUUUUUUUUUUUUUCUGUUUAACAACUUAGUGGGAGAAUCAUCCAAAGUCAGUUAUUGAGGCCUUUGUUUUGUUGCUUUCACCUUAUGCCCCACACAUGGCAGAGGAGCUUUGGUUUCGGCUUGGGCAUUCAAGUUCUUUGGCAUAUGAAUCUUUUCCAGAGGUACAACUUUACCAAAGACCCAAAUAUGGAAAGCAUAAUAUGGAAAGCAUAAUUUUUACUUGUUGCCUUUUAACUUGUAUCCUUUGCCUUUAAAUUAUGGAAAUUUCCACAUAAUGCGACAUAAUGAGAAAUUUUGCAAGAUAUUGAUCUAUUGAAGCAAUUAUAGUAUAGAUGAAGUUAGUAAAAGUUGCAAGAGAAUUUGAGCUAGAAAUCAAUAUCGAGUCUUGCUACUUUUCUACUUGGCUUACAAACUUCAGAUAAAUAGAUGAUUUCGCAGGGAUCCAAAUGCAAAAGCCUCUUUAUUUAAUUUUGUGAGCCAUACUUUUUGAAACAAAAAUUUAGUGGCUAUACCUGCACCAAUGUACUUCAAGUGACGGAUCAUUAUGCCAAGUCUUUUAAUUUUAUUUUUCAGGCCAAUAGAGAGUAUUUGAAAGAUACAACAAUCGUGCUCCCCGUUCAGAUAAAUGGAAAGACCAGAGGAACUAUUACCGUCGACAAAGCCUGCUCUGAGGAUGAUGCAUUUAGAUUAGCCUCCAGGGAUGAUAAGCUCUCCAAGUAUUUGGAAGGGAAGACUAUAAGGAAAAAAAUUUAUGUUCCCGGGAGGAUCUUGAAUGUCAUAUUGGACAAGGAGAAGGUAAGGUCAUGAUCGUUGCUUCUGAUACUGUAACCAUUUGAUUUUCGCUUCAUGGCUCUAUUUUGUACUGAGCUAUGCUAUAUCUUCUUUUCUUGUCAUGAUUUUGUAUAUUACAGGUUCAUUCUUUCAAUAAAGUUUAACAAUGAUUCAUCAUGUCUCUCUUUUGCUGAAUUUAGCUUGCGACUAACAAUCUUGUUAUGAACUGAAGAGAAUACAGGCAAAUUUGCAACCCCUCUGUUUUGCUGUGUGAAAUAUUGAACGGUAAAACUUGCAGCCUGUCUUAUUAUCUGUUCGUUCUGAAGACGGCACAAACACCAUUCAAUUCCAUGCUUGUGAAUCCGUAGGAAGUUUUUGAUAUUCUGUAUUCGGAUACUUUUGUGUUAGAGUGUUCUUCUCUUUGAUUUCGUAUCCUAUAAAUUGUGGCACCCUAAUAGUCCCGUAUCUGAUGGAAACGGAAUUGUGAUUGGGAAUAAAGUGCCAUGGACCCAAAUAAUAAUAACUGGGUUUAAUUAUUUUGGAACGAUGGUUUGGGCUCAUUUAGUUAUUAUUUCUAGUGCCGGAUUGUUACAUUUGGUAUCAGAGCCGGUUUACCGGCCGGAAUUGUGAGGUGAACCUCACAUCACUUAGUGAUUU
rnacentral:lncRNA from 1 species